ensembl:snoRNA
GGGCAUACUCGUAGACCUUGCCUGACUGUGCUCAUAGUCAGGCAGGGGGGACAGUGUAUGCAAGAAUAAUUUGGAGUUCCUGCCAGCUCUAACCAGCUUCAUCAGUGACUGGAUAAAUUGCAGGACUCUUAACAUUU